rnacentral:lncRNA from 1 species
AACACAGUGACGUGUCUUUAGUUUACUCUGGAGUUGGGAUUCCAAAUGGACCUCUUUUUAUGCCUCUUUUCCCAUCCAGCAGAGUAAUGUCUAUACCAAUCUGAACCAAAACAUUUCAAUGAUUUUCAUGCCAGCCCAGUUUUCAAUCCUUCUUCCCAGGAUCAUCAAAUUAUUCCCUGUUUUCUAACACCAACUUCCCAGAAUAACAAUAAUAAGGACAAAUAUCUCUAGAUAAUAAGAUAACCUGGGAAUUAAAGCAUGUACCAGCAUUCAUUUUGCAGUGAUUAGGCUGUGUUGGCUGGACUAGGCUGGAUAACAAGUACUAAUCAAGGUACACAAAUGCAGAUUAGUGCAAUUCUGGGACUAUCCGUGGGAACCUUCAGAGAUCACCAAGAUCAUUAAGUUCAAACACAGAUUUGGUCUUAGGCACAUCUUUAAUUUAUCAAGAGCUCUGUGAGGGCUGGGUUUACGUGAUAAACUGCAUCCUGUUGGAUCUCCAGGGUGCACUUGGGACCAUGGGGCAAGAAUUAUGGAUGGAUGUGGGUAUUGGGUGAUCUUAAUACAAAGAGAAAUGAAGGCCAAAAAGCCAAAUAUCCAGUGAUUCUAUAUAUAUUUUAAAAGAUAGCAAGAAACUGAGAAUCUAGGACUGAGCCAGUGAUCCAAGCCACCUCUUGCUUCCAAGAGAGAAAGGAUUGCCCAGAAGAAAGAGCUUUGGAGUAAAGCAGAAUUGGCUUUAAAUCAGGCUCCAACACAUAAUUUGGGGCAGGUGCCCUCUGUGCUUCAGUUUUGUCACCUGAAAAACUGAGAAACCAUGACUUACCUUUUAAGCUUAUUAAAUUAGUAAAACUAGCAUUUGUAAAAUGCCUGGCACCAUGCCUGGCCCUUAGUGGUCAAUUGAUGAGACAAAACUGUUUUUAUUAUUCCCCAUCUUACUCCUGUCUGUUUUAACUGAAGCAGCAGGAAACAAGGAAUGUCAGAUGAACACUUGUACUGAUACAGAGAGUGGGAGCCUUUCUGUAAGGAAAAAGGGGAUAAAAAUGAGAGAUAAGGGCCAAUCAGCCAAGAGGCAUCCGAGUAUACAGGCAGUUGCUGAGCCUGGCAUAGGAGUCAGGAAACCUGGGUUUUUGCCCAGAUCCUGCUCAUCUACUGAGUGACCCGGGGGAAAUAAUGUAAUGCCCUGUGUCUCAGAUUCCUUAUUAAUAAAGUGUAGGAUUUGAACUAAAUUAGUAUUCUUAAAUACCCAUCUGAGAACUAAUGCUAGUUCAUGACCAAGUUUUCAUUGGUAUAUAUUAAACUAAGAAAAAUAAGGGGACUCAAGGCAGUUUUUCAUUGCACUAAACUGAUCACAUUCAAGAGACUGCCUCUAGGGAGUUCCCACUGUGGUGCAGUGGUUAAUGGGUCCGGCUAGGAUUCAUGGGGUUGCAGGUUUGAUCCUGGGCCUCGCUCGGUGGGUUAAGGAUGUGGUGUUGGCUGUGGUGUAGGCCACAGAUGCGGCUUGGGUUCUGCUUAGAUCCCUAGCCUGGGAACCUCCAUAUGCCGCAGGAAGCAGCCCUAGAAAAGGCAAAAAGCCAAAAAAGAAAUGUUUCAAAAAAAAGAGAACUGCCUUUAAUCUGAAAUUGUAUUUGUCCUGAGUUUUGAUAUUAUGAAGUCCUUUCUUUUAAGAAAUGGUGGUGAUAGUAGACAGCAACUGCAUCUUGGCAAAAUAGAAAGAAAUAUGGGGGGGGGGCGCAACCUUAUAACUGUCCCAAAGUUGUUGGUCUUUUUCUUUUUUAAACUCAUUGAACCAUAAAAUCCCGAGACUUGGGAACCACUGAGCUAGAUGAUCUCAAGUGCUUUUUAUCUAUAAAACCUCUGGCCCUGCAUAGUACCACUAAUAAUAUUUUUGCUCUUCAGUCACUUGCUGGAAUGAGGAGGACUUGAUCCAAGACAAUAUAAAGUAGGGGUUUCAGGUAUCAGAGAAGUAUGAUUUGAGAAGGGAGUGCUGAAGCUCGUGUGUCAGAAAAGGGGCAGAGCUAUUGGUAGUGCGGUGGCCAUGUGGGGAGAAAGGUCCUGAGAUCUAGAAAUAAGACCUGUCAUCAUGGUUGAACUGCUCUUUGGAGGUAGAGAUAACUUGAGAUAAAAUUUUCUACUUUUUAAAAAUUUUGCCAAGAUGCAGUUGCCAUCUACCAUCCCCAUCAUUUCUCAAAAGAAAGGUCAUUAGAACAUCAGAAAGUGAGGAAAGACAUUAUCUCAGAGCAAAAGACAGUCUUUUGAAUGUCAUCAGGUUAGUGAUGUGAAAACCUACAACUGAUGCAAAGAACCCUAUCUGGUCCAUUCAUAGCAUGGUGUCCAGAGGACAUGUGGGCAGGUGACCCAGGAGAGUCCAACCAGAAAGCAGGACUCUAUCUGCUAAGUCAAGAGAGGAGGGUGGCAGGAAAUCUCAGAGCAGGGAGCUGGGACUAAGCCAGCAUCAGAGAGGCUGAGCAGCUGGAUUUGAUGUUCUCAGGAACUUGCCUUUAGUCCUGGGGAGGGGCAGAUGGAUGGAUGAUAAGAAUAAGGUGGGACCCCAUUCCGGGAGAACCUGGGGAAAAAACCUGGUUAUUAAGCUGAUAAAUCAGGCACAAAGUUUCAAGAAUACGAGCCAGUUACUCAAACUGUGAGACAAGAGCAUGGAAGUGAGAUGCAGGAUCAGAGUGAUACUGAGCUUUGGAACUAGGGCUACUCCAAGGUCUCAAACCUGAUCACCGUAUUCAGAUCAUCACUGACUAUGUUCCACCCCUAGAUUGUGAUAUCAUUUCACGGGCUUUGUCCUAGAUGUUGGCAUUUUAAAAUAAAGCUCUCUCAGGUGUGCAACCAGGAUUGAGAGCCCUGGGCUAUUCACAGCCUCCGUGGAAAGGACAGAACCUGAGCUGACAGGAGAAAGCCGAGAUCUGGGUGAGUCUAUAGGUGAACACCAGGCUGUCCUGACAGUGGGGGAGUAAAUGCAAAGGAGGAGAAGAGGCAGCAGGAGGGUAUUGAGCACAUGUGCAGGAGUUGCUCUGUGGCUGUCUGGACAGGCUCAGGGAGAAACGAGUUUGCUGAAAAUUUCAGAGGUCUUUGCUAUUCACUGGUAUAAGCUAACACCCCGUUGGGGAGCACUGGCUUAGCAAAUAUAGCUUUGUGUGUGUUAAUUGCUUCAGUAGAUGUAAGAAGCAUGACAGGUAUUCACUCAAGCAGAAAGAGCAGAAUUUCUCAGAUAUCUUCCACUCAUUUUAUUCAAAAUUGAAAGGAUAUUCUGCCGUCAGCUGGGGCAUUCUGCUCUGCACAGGAAACCCCAAACCUUUAUCACCAGCCUGAAGGUCUUAAGCUGGAAACCUGAAGAAAUAGGCAUAGCACUGGUCAUUUCUACUGUUAGAAGUCAAAUAUUGAAUUCUGAUUUGAAGCCAUAGCAAUAAAAAGGUCAGGUGAACUUUUUUUGCUUUAGUUAGUUUUGCCAAGCAAAGGAAAGACACCCCAGAGACCAUUAGAAGAUCUUGAGAACCUUUCAGUGGGAGAUGUAUGAUAUCAAAUACGAAAAUAAUAAUAACAACAGUAGGAGUCAAUAUUUACUAAGUGCUUACAGUCUUAGUCGUCACAGGCUGUUAUAACAAAAUACCACAGAUUGGGUAGCUUACUCAAUAGAAAUGUAUGGUUCACUGUUCUGGAGGCUGGGAAGUCCAAGAUCAAGGUGCCUGCGCAUUUGGUUUCUGGUGAGAGCUUUCUUCCUGGCUCUUCGGUGGCUGCCUUCUCACUAUGUCUUCCUAAGGCAGAAAGAGAGGAGUCACCUGGCUGGUGUCUUUUCUUAUAAGGACACAAAUGCCAUCAGAACCUGUUAUGACCCAUUGUUGUGACCUCCUUUAACUCUUUAAUUCCUUCCUUGUAGGACCUAUCUCCUAACAUAGGCUUCAACAUCUGAGAGUGUUUUUAUUUUUUAUUUUUUGGAGGGGGCGUGCACAAUUCAGUGUAUAGCACUUCCUCUGUGCUAGCAUUUUUGUUUUAAUUUAAUAGCUGCAGCCAUGGCAUAUGGAAGUUCCCAGGCCAGGGACUGAAUCCGAGUCACAGCCGUGACUCAUGCUGCAGCUGCAGCAACCCUGGAUCCUUUAACCCACUGUGCCGGGCUGGGGAUAGAACCCAUACCUCCACAGCGACCCAAGCCACUGCAGUCAGAUUCUUCAUGCACUGUGCCACAGAAGGAACUCCCAUGCUAGCUUUUUAAAAAUAACUUUAUACAUGUUAGAUAAUUUAAUCUUUAUAAUCCUGUAAGAAAGAUACUUUAAUUAUCCCUAUUUUAUAAGAAAGGAAACAGGUGCUCAGAGAAGUUAAGCAUCCUGCCCAAGGUCAUGUGGCUGUCAGUAAUCUAUUUUAAAUAUCAUGUGUAUGAAGAAAUGAAGAGAUGAACACACUGCUAAUACUUCCCCUGACCCUUGUAGAAUAUGUCCUCUAGGAGGUGUCGAAUUCCCCGAGGACUCUAAAUAGCUACCAUGCUCUGACACCUAUGAUUAGAAGGCCAGCGCUGGAGAUAUUUGUCCCUUAUACCCUCUCUCUUUACAGUGAACCAAAAGCUCGAUUCAAAAGUACAGUCUCACAUUUUUUAAUACUCUUAGGUCAGUUCUGCAUCACUUACAUAUUGAACCCACACUUAUUAUCAAACACUGACACCUUUUUCUCUUCUUAAAGAGUUUGAGGAAGCCGGACAUAUUUAUAAAUAAUUGCAAUGCAGUGGAAUGUGUUGUAUGUUGAGAUAUUGUAUACAAACAAUACAGUGAUAAUUGUAAUCAUAAAUGUCCAGUAUAUCAAGAAAUGAAGCUGUAGAAGCCCUGCUAACAUUUUCCCUGAUCCUUGUAGAACAAGUCCUCUUGGUUAUGCCAAAUUCCCUGAGGACUCUAAAGAGCUGAUGAGCUCUGACACCCACGAUAAGGUUACCGAGAUCUUGUGCUUCUCCCAGUAAGUAUUCUUACUAAUAAUUACAUUAAGAACCAAAACAUACGAUAAGCUCAUCAUGUGCCUGGAAUCAUUCUAAGUGCUUCCAAUACAUUACGUUCUCACUGGACUCACUGAACUCCUAGGAGUUCUGAAGUAUUAUCAUUCUCAUUUUUGAAGAGAAAUCUGAGACUUAGUUAUUAAGUACUCUAUUCAAGGACACGUGGCUAAAUGAGUUCCAGUCAAAGCCAGGAGUUGAACUGAGGCUUAAAACAAGGCAGUUUGAUUUUUCAGUGCCCACUCGUAAGCCUCAGAACAUGCCAAGUUCUGAUCAUCACAUUUAGGUAGUACGAGUACUCCAUUGACUUCCUGAAACAGUAGCAGGGAAGAGGUGGGGGCGUUAUCUCACACACCUAUCUCUAAAUUACUUUUAAUUGUUUUGUCAUUUUUGACUUAAGUACAAAUGGGGAUUUUUGCCAUGAAAAUUGUGCCUUCUGUUUCUGACAAUUCUCAUGCUUGUUGGGAAACCCCCUUUUGUAUGCUUUAUAUUUUCAGAUUACAAAAAAAUAAUUCUUUACAGAUGCAAAUUCACUCCUUCAAAGAGUAAUGAACAGGACUUGACAUUUGCCUAAAAGAGCUCACAGCCACUCCUCUCUAAACACUGUAGACUUUUCCAUUAGAAAUUACAUAUAUAAAAUGUUUGGAAAUAAAUGAUAAAUGAUAGUAGUUAUUAUGCAGAAAAAAAUACCUCAAUGGCAAUGAUUAUCAUAUUUAAAAUGUUUCAAAUUUCAUUGUUGUCUGUCUGGUCUAGCAUGCCAGGACUGGAUCUCUAUAUCCUCUGAGAGAAACCUUUAAAGUUAGUAUGGAAGAGAAUAGCUUGGGCAGGAUGAAAAGGGAUUUCUAGGCAAAAUCUGUAUCAGGUUAUGUUAUUCUGAGAAUAUACAUCUCUCUCUCUCUCACACACACACACACACACUCAGAGAGAAAUCCUUAGCUUAUAAUAGGCAGAUACCUCUGAAUGGGUUAAAAAUAAACACAAGCCCUCAGGAAAAAAGGCCGAAACAGUAAUGACAGUUUUGAAGUAUCCAGUACCUGUUGUGACAGGAAUAACAAAUUAAUUGGGACUAUAACGGAUUCUUUGUAAAGGUGAAGUAAACACACUUGACUGUAUAUUUUUCACCAUCAGUUAAGUCUCAAUUGGUUCUAAAAAUAAACAGAAGACAUUGAACAGUUUUAAUGGAUUCUGACACCUAGGUAUUAUGCUGUCACUCCAGUAUAAAUGAAUCAUAACUUUGGACUGCACCUAGGAAUUACUACACAUUUGGAGAAAAUUUAUGGUACACCAAGCUUUGAAUCAUGAUGUGAUAUCAAAACUAAAGUCAAAAGAGGAAAAAAGCUGGGCAUAAAUUAUUAUCCUCAAUCCCAUAUGUAUCUUCCAGAGCAACAGGUAAAGGUUUGAGGAUUUAGGAGAACUGCCAAUAAUUAUCAUGGGUGCUGAAGCAAAUUUACCCUUCUGAAAGUAGCU